GAUUGAACGCUGGCGGCAGGCCUAACACAUGCAAGUCGAACGGUAACAGGAAGCAGCUUGCUGCUUCGCUGACGAGUGGCGGACGGGUGAGUAAUGUCUGGGAAACUGCCCGAUGGAGGGGGAUAACUACUGGAAACGGUAGCUAAUACCGCAUAACGUCGCAAGACCAAAGAGGGGGACCUUCGGGCCUCUUGCCAUCGGAUGUGCCCAGAUGGGAUUAGCUAGUAGGUGGGGUAACGGCUCACCUAGGCGACGAUCCCUAGCUGGUCUGAGAGGAUGACCAGCCACACUGGAACUGAGACACGGUCCAGACUCCUACGGGAGGCAGCAGUGGGGAAUAUUGCACAAUGGGCGCAAGCCUGAUGCAGCCAUGCCGCGUGUAUGAAGAAGGCCUUCGGGUUGUAAAGUACUUUCAGCGGGGAGGAAGGCGAUGAGGUUAAUAACCNNNUCGAUUGACGUUACCCGCAGAAGAAGCACCGGCUAACUCCGUGC
rnacentral:rRNA from 1 species